GUGCAAUAUAGAUGGGUUUCCACACCUAUCCGCGGGCUAUCAUCGGUCUAAAUAGGUUGCACAGGAUCAUAGAAACACAACUAAACCAUUGGAAGAAAAGUAUUGGGACGAAAAUAAAAACUGAGUCUGGGCAUCUUCGAGCGGUUUUUAUGAGAAGAAACUUUAAUAUUACUCAAAGUGAGGCCGCCUAGAGUUAUCUGUGAAUUUUCGGGACGUUUCUCACAUGGGUAAAAAAUCGGCGACUUUUCGUAUGUUAAAGCCUUGGCCAUUUUGGACCGUUUUUGGCGCAACCGUUGCGCACCUCGAACGAGCCCCACCCGACCCCUAGGUCCUGGCCUUUUUUCUGUGUCGUAAAGGGUGCAAUAUAGAUGGUUUCCACACCUAUCCGCGGGCUAUCAUCGGUCUAAAUAGGUUGCACAAGAUCAAAGAAACACAACUAAACCAUGGGAAGAAAAGUAUUGGGACGAAAAUAAAAACUGAGUCUGGGCAUCUACGAGCGGUUUUUGUGGGAAGAAACUUUAAUAUUACUCAAAGUGAGGCCGCCUAGUAGUUAUCUGUGAAUUUUCAGGACGUUUC
rnacentral:lncRNA from 1 species